UUCCUAUCAGCAAUGGACAUUGA
rnacentral:misc_RNA from 1 species